UGACAUCUGGAAUGGGGCAGGGCAAACAGAAGUAAAAACAGGCCAAAAGGUAUCUAUAGAGCAAGGAUAUACUCCCUGUAGUUCACACCAGCUAGCAGAAACUCGCCUGAGCUCACAUAAUUCAGCUGCGCCUACUGAGGUUGCGUGAAAUCAGAAUUACUCUCUUCAGUUUAAAAAAAAAAAAGUGUUAAAAAGAUCUCUGCUUCCUUCACCUGGCGGUGGUUACCUAGUCUCUUGCCUGUUUUCCAGAUUUCUCUGCAGCUUGUUUCAGCAAGAGUUCCAGAGCCAGAUCCACAGCUGCUACCACAGCUGGAAGCACGGAGCCUCCUGAGAAGCCAGUUGCAGACUCAGAUGCUGCUGUUUCCUGUUUAUUAUUAUAGUGUAAGUUCGCAUAUAAUUUACCAUGUUCACUGCAGAUGUAUUUAUUUUUAUUGGAUGUUCGUGCUAAAAUGUAUAUGCCUAUCAUUUGGUGAAUUCAUAAUACGAAGGUUGAUCUGUCUCUUUACAAAGGAAGACAUUUGUUAGAAACAGGCAACCUUUACCUGCAAGGAGAGGGAAAUACAAAGAAGAGAGGAGGUAAAGGAGAUUGAUUCUUCCAGAAACACAAUCUCCAAGCCAAGCCCAAAAUGUGUAAAUAAGUCCAGGAUUUCUUUCUGCACUUGAUUUAAAAAAUAAAAAUAUCAAAAAAUAGCUCUCACUUUAUCUGCUAUUCAAAGUGAAAGCCUAUAGUAUUCAUUAGUAAUUUUAAGAUGCCUAGAAAACACCACCAAAUUCCAAAAGUGAUUUCUCUAAAAACAGAACAAAACAGUUACUAUAAUGAAGGGGUCACUUAACCACUUCAGGUUUAAUACCUAUAUCCAUGUGGCAAUUAGUUACAUACUAGCAAACACAGUGUAUUGUUACCUCAUAAUUUCAUAUUAACAUUUCAUGUUUGAAUUUCCACUAAUACUUUCAAGAAAGAGGGACAAUUUUUAAUUACCGCAGGUAUCCUUUUUUAAAAAAUAAAUAUAUAUUAAAGAAAAAGCUAUUCUGGUCCAACAGUAGUAUUUUUUUUUACAGGCACAGAAAAAUUGAGUAAAAAUUGGUAAAAAGCUGUUCCUAAGAAAAAUCUCUCCUUUUAUAUAGUGCAGUCAUCCAGUAUGAUAGAAUUAUUAUAAUGGCUCCUACAUCAUUUUCUUAACCUGUACCCAGUACAGCAAAUGCCCAAAAUCCCACCAUGCUAGCAAUCUCUGAAUUCUCAAACUUCUCUCGGGGACUGUGACCAGCUGGCUUAAUACCGUGCAACCGUGUACUUGUUUACCAUUCACACAUUAAAAUGUUCUGCUUCCGAGGAAGUCUAUUAAAUGUUCGUCUACAUUUUGUUGUUCCCAUAGUCUCAAGUAUAGGCUCACUUAUAGUGACAUGAAGGUGUUAAGCUGGUUUUACUAACUUUCUAAAGCAGCAAUAAUGAUACAAAUCACCCUGUUACUUAUAUAAUUGUAACUAUGCUACAGAACAUAAUGUAGUCUAACAACGGUGGUUUAAAGCACUGCAAAAAAUAAAAAAAAAACGUGUAGUCCAGCCCUACAUACUCUAGAAUGUCAGAAAGCAUGAGGUUGGAGUUUCUGCCUGUAUUUGUAAAAUAUACACAGCUUUAAACUGCAUUGAUUUGUGCAAAACUGCAUUGUUAAGAGUUUAUCUCAUGGUACUUCCGAGUAUCCAGCCAAAUGACCUGAAUUAAGGUAUCUAAGAUGAACUGUAAAGAAAGGAAAAAUGGCAUUAUUGAACUGAAUUAAGAUCAAACUGUCUUGAUAAUCAGAAGUUUCGGAUAAUUAGAAUGUUUCUUUAUUAACAAAAUAAACUUUGUUAUUUCCAAAAUUACUUGAUAUAAAGUAUAUUAAAAGAAAACUGAUACAUUCUUUCACAUGUAUUUUUUUUCAAAAUAAAUGCAAAUAUAAAAAGCAGAAUGAAGAUAAGUAAAAUUGAAUCUUUAUUCUAUAACUUCUACGAUUUUGUCUUACCUUGUGUAUUAGCAUAGAUGUAAAACGAUAGUUAUUUCCUAUAAUCAACAAUUAUAGUACUUUUAACCUGUAACCUUUAUUAUACUGUAACAUAAAAGGUAUCAGUUGUACUAUUUUGAUAAUAUUGCAAUAUAAUUGUUUGUAUGGUAUCUAUCUGUCAUAGCAAAAAAUAUCGCUGUAUUUCAGCUGGUAUUGAAUUCUAUAGACACAUAUCAAUAUAUUCCAAUAUUCUUUUACGUAUUGUGAACUUAGCAUACUGCUCAUUCUUAAAAGUUACAAGACUAUAAACUAAGGAAUUAUAUACACCAGUUUAGAAUUAAUGUGUGAUUACAUGUGUUUUAAUUUAUGAAGCAGCAGCUUUGUAAGGAAAUGCUUCUAGAGUUAAAAGUUAUUUUACAGCAAACAUUUCCAUCUGUUUUUCUAACACUGAACCUCUAAACACUUGCAUACACAUUCACAUUUGCACAUGCAAAUAGCCCAAAUGGCCUCAAAAGGGCUCUUCACAUGAAUUUUUUUCAGGACUGGGACGUAAAUACAGUUUUUAAUUGCUGGAGAGGUGCUUUUUUGAUAUGUAUAAAAUAUUACUACCUUUCAGCUUCAUAUUCCCUGUUAAUUUUAUUAGGAUUCAGACAGUCAUAUACAGAACUGAAUGUUUCAGAGGGAGAUAGAUUAUUUCACUGUCACGGGAUAUACAGUAGGUACUGAAGUGCCAUUUCUGGAAAACAGGGACAGGAAAAUCCCUAUUUCCUUACUUGCACUUCUGUUGUAGCAACUGUGAUUUAUUUCCAUGUCUUUUUAAAUUUUGGAAUGCAUUAACUUUGAAGAAUCUCUUUUAACCAGAUUUAACUUCACUUCUCCACAUAUAUAUUUACAUUAAAAUUGCAUCUAUGGUAAAACACAAUCCAAGUGAUUACUUGCAACUAUCAUUUGCCACAUUUUUUUACCAAUCCUGGAUUGGUAAAAAAUCAAUUUUUAAUCACUGAAAAAGAUGUGGUACUUUUAACAGUACCUGAAUUAUGUAUUAAAAGAUGCAAUCCUAAAACCAGCAGUAUUUUGUGCCAUGUCACAUGCAAAAUAUGCAUAGUAGUCAUUAGCUGACCACAGUUUAUAACACUGAUUUGGCAGUGUCUUCACAGAAUGUGUCCCAGAUGUUAUUGUAAAGUUUUUAUGCACGUACAA